GUUGCGAGUCCAUGACCCAGGUCUAAUACUCGGGAUAGUCGUAAGCAGCGCUUUAACUCUCGUCUCGUGCUGUCCACUGUUACUUCUACCGCAAUACACCGAUGACCUCCCAUUCAAAGUACCACUGAUGCCCUUGCUACCGCUGAUUGCUUUGCUUGCUGCUGUCAUUCUGUUGCUACACUUUAAUUCCUUGGUCUAUGUAGGAGUCGUCGUUUGGUUGUGUUUAGGACUCAUCGUGUACUUUACGUACGGCAUGAAGCACAGCGUGGAGGCCACACGACAAGAUGUUCACCUGAAUGAUCAGUGACGAAGGC